rnacentral:rRNA from 1 species
AUACGGAAGGUCCGGGCGUUAUCCGGAUUUAUUGGGUUUAAAGGGAGCGCAGGCCGAGAUGCAAGCGUGACGUCAAAUUUCGGGGCUCAACCCCGUCUCGCGUCGCGAACUGCGUCCCUUGGUUGCGGGAAGGGGAGGCGGAACUCGUGGUGUAGCGGUGAAAUGCAUAGAUAUAACGAAGAACUCCGAUCGCGAAGGCAGCCUUCCGGCCCGUCAACGACGCUCAUGCUCGAAGGUGCGGGUAUCAAACAGGAUUAGAGGCCCUGGUAGUCCGCACAGUAAACGAUGGACACCCGCGGUUUGGCCUAUAUGUCUGAGCCGCCAAGCGAAAGCGUUAAGUGUCCCACCUGGGGAGUACGCCGGCAACGGUGAAACUCAAAUGAAUUGACGGGG